AGCUCUCAGAGGGUGAGACAGAUUCAUUCCAUUUGCUUUGUGGUGACUGCAGAUUGAAGCACAAACCUUUGGAUUUGGAGAGAUUCAGAAGGCAGAAAAAGAGACAAGAGCUCAAGCCCAUGGAACCAAGGAGAGAGGAAGGUCUCCAGAAAACUAGCUGAGCCCCAGUUGAAGGACUUUGAAGGAGACAUUAAAGGAUUUGAACUUUAACACCUGGCGGCCUCCAGAAACCCCAAGGAAACCUCAAUAGAGAACAUUACAUUUCAAAGAGAGUAUUACACCUCUGUACCCUUUUUAAAAGACCGGGCUUUCUCCAACAUGGCCUAGCAUGGUUUCAUAGCAGAAAGGUGGGAUUCAGAAUCUUUUGUCUUUUAUCAAGAAGGUAAUAAGCAUCUCUGUCCCAUCAAGCAGUCAUAUGGAAGAUCCUGUUAGUCAAAAACUCAAGGACUUCAAAAACGAAGAAACAGGUCAUCACUAUGUAGCUCAGAACUACUGUGAUAAAGACAUUGAAGGCAUUCUCAUAGACAGUGAAGUCCUCUGAAGAGAAAAUACUGAUGCCAGUGGUGAUCUCCAUGGUCUUAGAAGUUUGAGUUAUGGGCAACAGUGGAGCCAGAAUUACAGGAAUGGUUAUUCAAUGAGUGUGAGAUGCAUGCAAGUCCAGGGAACCUGAGAUUUGAGCCCAAGGUUGUAGUUUUGGAUUUGGAAUUGGGAUAAUUCUCUUUAAGAUCUGAGAUAAGCCAUGAACUUUUAGCAAGUGUUAUCUCCAAUAUGUAAUAUGGGAGUGUCAUUAUGUGGCUCAAUAGGAAGCAGAAGAGACAUCUCUAGAAUCUUUUCCUCUUCCUUUUCCAAGGGAGAAUUUAAUUUCUGUCAGGAGGAGGAAGCAAGAGCUUGGGAU
rnacentral:lncRNA from 1 species